GACGAACGCUGGCGGCGUGCUUAACACAUGCAAGUCGAACGGAAAGGCCCUGCCUUUGUGGGGUGCUCGAGUGGCGAACGGGUGAGUAACACGUGAGUAACCUGCCCUUGACUUUGGGAUAACUUCAGGAAACUGGGGCUAAUACCGGAUAGGAGCUCCUGCUGCAUGGUGGGGGUUGGAAAGUUUCGGCGGUUGGGGAUGGACGCGCGGCUUAUCAGCUUGUUGGUGGGGUAGUGGCUUACCAAGGCUUUGACGGGUAGCCGGCCUGAGAGGGUGACCGGCCACAUUGGGACUGAGAUACGGCCCAGACUCCUACGGGAGGCAGCAGUGGGGAAUAUUGCACAAUGGGCGGAAGCCUGAUGCAGCAACGCCGCGUGCGGGAUGACGGCCUUCGGGUUGUAAACCGCUUUCGCCUGUGACGAAGCGUGAGUGACGGUAAUGGGUAAAGAAGCACCGGCUAACUACGUG
rnacentral:rRNA from 1 species